rnacentral:lncRNA from 1 species
GGGAGAGUAAUGUGGUGCCUGAAUCUGCUUUCAGCAAUCAUGCUUCUUUUUUGAAAAAGACCUAACCAUCUGGGGUAAAGUAAGUUGCUCAUGUCCCAUCUUCUCUAAGGGUAGAAACUGAGGCUAGAAAUCUUCCCUUCAUUUGCAGUAUUAAUGCUUUCCAUAAUUUGCAAUCUACCUUUUUCCUCCCCUUCAUCUUUAUAAAACCCCUCUAUUGUCUAGUAAUAAAAACACUAUGACUAGUAGUAAGCCCACCUCUUUUUUGUAAUUUUAGUUUUUUUAGGACUGUGUUCUUUAGAC